rnacentral:rRNA from 1 species
AGUGAACGCUGGCGGUAGGCCUAACACAUGCAAGUCGAACGGCAGCACAGUAAGAGCUUGCUCUUACGGGUGGCGAGUGGCGGACGGGUGAGGAAUACAUCGGAAUCUACUUUUUCGUGGGGGAUAACGUAGGGAAACUUACGCUAAUACCGCAUACGACCUACGGGUGAAAGCAGGGGAUAUUCUCACCUUGCGCGGUUGAAUGAGCCGGUGCGGGAUUGGCUGGUUGGGGGGGUAAAGGCCCACCAAGGCGACGAUCCGCAGCUGGUCUGAGAGGAUGGUAGCCCGCAUUGGAAGGGGGACACGGUCCAGACGCCUGCGGGACGCAGCAGUGUCGAAUGGGGGACAACGGUCGCAAGCCUUAUCCAGUGAGACCGCGUGGGUGAAGAAGGCGUUCGGGUUGUAAAGCCGUUUUUUUGGGAAAGAAAAGCAGCAGGUUAAUACCCCGCUGUUCUGACGGUACCCAAAGAAUAAGCACCGGCUAACUUCGUG